rnacentral:misc_RNA from 1 species
UGAACGUGUGGGGCCCUGAAAGGCGAG